AGAGUUUGAUUAUGGCUCAGGACGAACGGCUGGCGGCGUGCUUCAUACAUGCAAGUCGAACGAGAAGCUGACUUCGGUCAGUGGAAAGUGGCGGACGGGUGAGUAAUAUGUAGAGAAUCUGCCCUUGAGUGGGGGACAACAGAGGGAAACUUCUGCUAAUACCCCAUAUGAGCUAACUUGAAAUAGUUAUCUUGAAAACUCCGGUGCUCAAGGAUGAGUCUGCAUCUGAUUAGCUAGUUGGCGGUGUAAUGGACCACCAAGGCGACGAUCAGUAGCUGGUUUGAGAGGAUGAUCAGCCACAAUGGGACUGAGACACGGCCCAUACUCCUACGGGAGGCAGCAGUAGGGAAUUUUGCGCAAUGGGCGAAAGCCCUGACGCAGCAACGCCGCGUGAACGAUUAAGCCCUUCGGGGUGUAAAGUUCUGUCAGUAGGGACGAAUUUUGACGGUACCUACAGAGGAAGCACCGGCUAACUCCGUGCCAGCCGCCGC
rnacentral:rRNA from 1 species